rnacentral:rRNA from 1 species
GACAGAGGUGCCAAGCGUUAGGCGGAAUCACUGGGCUUAAAGCGUGUGUAGGCGGAUUGGUAAGUACCUUGUGAAAUCCCCCGGCUUAACCUGGGAACUGCGUCUGAUACUGGGAGGCUUGAGUAUGGGAGAGGGAUGUAGAAUUCCAGGUGUAGCGGUGAAAUGCGCAGAUAUCGGGAGGAACACCAGUGGCGAAGGCGGCACUCUGGGCCGGUACUGACGCUGAGGAGCGAAAGCGUGGGGAGCGAACAGG